rnacentral:rRNA from 1 species
UGGGGAAUCUUGCGCAAUGCGCGAAAGCGUGACGCAGCAACGCCGCGUGGGGGAAGAAGGCUUUCGGGUUGUAAACCCCUUUCAGUUGGGACGAAGCUUCGCCGGUGAAUAGCCGGCCGGAGUGACGGUACCUUCACAAGAAGCACCGGCUAACUACGUGCCAGCAGCCGCGGUAAUACGUAGGGUGCAAGCGUUGUCCGGAAUUAUUGGGCGUAAAGAGCGUGUAGGCGGCCCGAUUAGUCCGCUGUGAAAGUCCAGGGCUCAACCCUGGAAUGCCGGUGGAUACUGUCGGGCUAGAGUCCGGAAGGGGCGAGUGGAAUUCCUGGUGUAGCGGUGAAAUGCGCAGAUAUCAGGAGGAACACCAAUGGCGAAGGCAGCUCGCUGGGACGUGACUGACGCUGAGACGCGAAAGCGUGGGGAGCAAACAGGAUUAGAUACCCCCGUAGUCC